AGUGAACGCUGGCGGUAGGCCUAACACAUGCAAGUCGAACGGCAGCACAGUAAGAGCUUGCUCUUACGGGUGGCGAGUGGCGGACGGGUGAGGAAUACAUCGGAAUCUACUUUUUCGUGGGGGAUAACGUAGGGAAACUUACGCUAAUACCGCAUACGACCUACGGGUUAAAGCAGGGGAUCUUCGGACCUUGCGCGAUUGAAUGAGCCGAUGUCGGAUUAGCUAGUUGGCGGGGUAAAGGCCCACCAAGGCAACGAUCCGUAGCUGGUCUGAGAGGAUGAUCAGCCACACUGGAACUGAGACACGGUCCAGACUCCUACGGGAGGCAGCAGUGGGGAAUAUUGGACAAUGGGCGCAAGCCUGAUCCAGCCAUACCGCGUGGGUGAAGAAGGCCUUCGGGUUGUAAAGCCCUUUUGUUGGGAAAGAAAAGCAGCAGGUUAAUACCCCGCUGUUCUGACGGUACCCAAAGAAUAAGCACCGGCUAACUUCGUG
rnacentral:rRNA from 1 species